GCUUAGCCUUAAACACAAAUACUCAACAAACAAGAAUAUUCACCAGAGUACUACGGGCAACAGCCUAAAACUCAAAGGACUUGGCGGUGCCUUAUACCCCUCUAGAGGAGCCUGUUCUAUAAUCGAUAAACCCCGAUACACCUUACCGCCUUUAGCAAAAUCAGCCUAUAUACCGCCAUCUUCAGCAAACCCUAACAAGGCCCUAAAGUAAGCACAAGAAUACUACAUAAAAACGUUAGGUCAAGGUGUAGCCUAUAAGGCGGGAAGAAAUGGGCUACAUUUUCUAAGCCUAGAAUACCCACGAUAGCUCUUAUGAAACUAAGAACCCAAGGUGGAUUUAGUAGUAAAUCAGGAAUAGAGAGCCUGACUGAAUUGGGCAAUAAGACACGC
rnacentral:rRNA from 1 species